rnacentral:rRNA from 1 species
CCUACGGGUGGCUGCAGUGGGGAAUAUUGCACAAUGGGCGCAAGCCUGAUGCAGCCAUGCCGCGUGUGUGAAGAAGGCCCUCGGGUUGUAAAGCACUUUCAGCGGGGAGGAAGGCGGUGAGGUUAAUAACCUCAUCGAUUGACGUUACCCGCAGAAGAAGCACCGGCUAACUCCGUGCCAGCAGCCGCGGUAAUACGGAGGGUGCAAGCGUUAAUCGGAAUUACUGGGCGUAAAGCGCACGCAGGCGGUCUGUCAAGUCGGAUGUGAAAUCCCCGGGCUCAUCCUGGGAACUGCAUUCGAAACUGGCAGGCUAGAGUCUUGUAGAGGGGGGUAGAAUUCCAGGUGUAGCGGUGAAAUGCGUAGAGAUCUGGAGGAAUACCGGUGGCGAAGGCGGCCCCCUGGACAAAGACUGACGCUCAGGUGCGAAAGCGUGGGGAGCAAACAGGAUUAGAUACCCGUGUAGUC